rnacentral:rRNA from 1 species
AGUGAACGCUGGCGGUAGGCCUAACACUUGCAAGUCGAACGGCAGCACAGAGGAGCUUGCUCCUCGGGUGGCGAGUGGCGGACGGGUGAGGAAUACAUCGGAAUCUACUCUGUCGUGGGGGAUAACGUAGGGAAACUUACGCUAAUACCGCAUACGACCUACGGGUGAAAGCAGGGGACCUUCGGGCCUUGCGCGAUUGAAUGAGCCGAUGUCGGAUUAGCUAGUUGGCGGGGUAAAGGCCCACCAAGGCGACGAUCCGUAGCCGGUCUGAGAGGAUGAUCAGCCACACUGGAACUGAGACACGGUCCAGACUCCUACGGGAGGCAACAGUGGGGAAUAUUGGACAAUGGGCGCAAGCCUGAUCCAGCCGUACCGCGUGGGUGAAGAAGGCCUUCGGGUUGUAAAGCCCUUUUGUUGGGAAAGAAAUCCAGCUGGCUAAUACCCGGUUGGGAUGACGGUACCCAAAGAAUAAGCACCGGCUAACUUCGUGCCAGCAGCCGCCGUAA